AGGAAUCAACAAAAAAUGGUUGAAGCAUCCCCAGUAAAUGGCAUGCGCAAGAUUCAUGAUGCAAGGUCACCAGUUUCGUCUAAUGCAUCCCCACUAACGGGCGUCGUUCAAACAUCAGACAGGAGAUCUUCUCUUGGAGGUACAAAUGAAACUAGAAAUUCGAAGACACCGCCUCCGGUCCACAAAUCGGCCAAGGCAACGAAUCAGUGGAUGUAGAUCAUUUAGCAAUAAGCAAAAGAGGAUAAUAGUGGUGUGGUGCUUCGGCUCCAUACUCAAUGCUGAGAUUUGAUUUAGGACACACUUUUUAAUUCAGAGUAGCCAUGACUUCUAUUUACAACAAACUAUUUGUUGACAUUUUGCCAGAUUAAUAAUUCAUUCAUAUGAUUUCAGCUU